UACAGAGGGUGCAAGCGUUAAUCGGAAUUACUGGGCGUAAAGCGUGCGCAGGCGGUUAUGUAAGACAGGUGUGAAAACCCCGGGCUUAACCUGGGAACUGCAUUUGUGACUGCAUAGCUAGAGUACGGUAGAGGGGGGUGGAAUGCCGCGUGUAGCAGUGAAAUGCGUAGAGAUGCGGCGGAACACCGAUGGCGAAGGCAGCCCCCUGGGCUGAGAUUGACGCUCAGGCACGAAAGCGUGGGGAGCAAACAGG
rnacentral:rRNA from 1 species